UGGAGUGCAAUAGAGAUUGCCUCAUCUGUGGACGUGUUGGGGCAGUAUGAAAAUUGGAGUGGGUUUAGGGUUUCUGGGAUACUGGUGUUGAUGUGAGCCAUGACCAGCCUUUCAAAGCACCUCAUAGCUUCAGACGUGAGUGCUUCGGGUUGGUUGUCAUUUAGGCAGGUUACCUUAGUAGAUUGACCGUGCUCUACAAUAUAUAAUGUAUAUAUAUAUAUGACAUAGUAAUAGAAUUCUUACUAAUGUUGUUAUUCAUAGAUGCCCCAGUGGAUGUGAAGGUGGAGGGAGUGUCCAGUGUGAAGGAGGGAGACUCUGUGGAGCUGAGAUGCUCCAGUGACAGUAACCCUGCUGCCCACAGCUACCGCUGGCACAACAGUAGAGGUCCUCUGCCCACCACUGGACCUACCAUCACACUGGAGAAUGUAACCAGACUCACUGAAGCCCUCUACUGCACUGCCAUCAACACAGAGGGACAAGGCCACUCUAGCCCACUGAAGCUCAAUGUAGAGUACCCCCCUGAGAUCAAAGUGGGCUCUGCCUGCACUUCAGACAUCUCCAUGUUAACCUGUCUGUGCAUUGUGGAUUCGGAGCCCACCGCCACCGUGGAGUGGUCUUUUCCAGAUGGACCCCUGCCCACUUUGCCCAGUACCAGGGUGGAGAUGCAAGGGUCAGUUACCAUGGUGACCCUACAGAGGGCACUAGGCUUCUCAGAGACGUUCCACUGCCAUGCCAGCAACACACAGGGCAAUGCCACCUUGUCCUGCACUGUGUCCACAAAUGCGGGAGUCAUUGUGACCAGCCAGUAACCAGCAAGCAGGACAUUGAUGCAUCAAAGUGUGCUUCCUCAGAUCCCUCAACAUCAAGGUAUUUUUUGGAGACUGAAGAGGAUGGUGACCCAUACGAGUGUGAUGGUGGAGAUGAUGCAGUCUAUGGUAACGUGUGAACACAACAGGAAGCAUGUGGAAGUCAGCUGGCCCAGAGGCAGUGGUACUCUGUCUGUCAAAGGUUCCAGUAAAAUAUUAACAUUCUUAACCAAUGUAGCAGAGCUGGUGACUGCUUAUAUUUGUUAGCUUGAUGUAGCUUUAUGGUUCUUACGGCUAAUGAAUAUGGUACAUCUUAUUUGGGCUGUGGCUUUGUGUAAUGGCUUUCACAAGGCAUUUGUUUAUCAUCUAUGGCUUGGGUGAUUCAGAAGAGUUUUUACAAGAUGUUUAAUAUGCACAAUAAAUCAACCAGUAUUUAACGAUAGAUUAGCUGAAAAUUCGGAGCGUAGGGGUUGGUAAUAAUCUCUAGUUGAGCCGUGAUUGGCUCAGUGUUCUGUCACUCAUGGGGAUACUACGUCGCUGCCAAAUCUAAGGGUAGAGCUAGAACAUGCAAGCCCCUUGGGUGCGGUCAUAGAGUUACAUUAGAAGUGCCCAUCCAAGAAGGCUCAAGGUCAUUGGCCACAGACAGAAUUAUGUCAAAUCACAUUAUAUCUAAAGUAGCUUUGAUUGGACUGAUCAUGUCAACAUCAUACUUUCAAAAUCAUAGCUAGCAGUCAUCAUCAUGAAUCAAGUUAACAUUCUACUGGCAAAUCCUAUUUAAUCAUUGCCAUACAAAGAUAAAUAAUUAAGACAAAUUGUAGAUAAAUCGUAUCAGUGCUCAUUAGCCAUUGGACAUAAAUAUUUCACAACAAGUUGGACAUUGCAAAUUCAACAAUGAGUGGUUUAGAAGGAAUCAGUGGCUAACUGCAAGCAUUGCAAAGCAAUCACUAGCCUACAAUUUAGUGGAGUGACUGUGUGGUGAUACGUCUUGGUUUAAGGGUCUCUUUUCCAAGUUUAAAAUCUUAACAUUGGCCAUUCUGUCAAUCAAGCAUGAUUUCUGCCGCGCUCAAAACAACUGUUAACUCGGAACUGGGAAAUCUGACUUCAGUGAGUUCAAGGCAACUGGGAACUCAGGAAAAAACAAGCUCCGACUGAGUAAAUACAUUUUGAACGGUCAUCAAACUCAGAAUUGUAAGUCAGAACUUGGGCCUCUUUCUAGAGUUACGAUCUGAAGAUCACUGACGUCAUCAUGAUUCAACCUUGUUUUUUUUUUGAGUUUCCAGUUGUCUUGAAAGCACCAUAAAUCCAGAGAAUGCCAGAUUUUGAUGACAACAUUUGGUGGUGCACAUGUAGCCUAUAAUCUGUUUUAGAGAAAUGAAAUUAUUGAAUAUUGUAAGAGAUUUCAUUGUCUACUUAUAUGCCCCAUUUAUUUAUCCUACGGUUCUGACUUAGGGAGAACACUGUAAGAAUGGCCCAUGUUCUGAUUUCUGUCUCUGUACAUUUCAAAAGGGCUGAACAAAUAGCCAUAUUGACUACGUUUGAUCUAGCUCGCUCAUUAAUGUCUUAUUCGAAAUUACGGAUUGCCUCUUAUCCGCUUGCCAUAGUUUGUACAUCUCAAUUGUCAGUAGAAACCACAUUUGUUUAAGUCAGCUAUAUCAGCUAUGUUUUUUUAAGGCAGUAAAUGAGGCUGAAUGAACUGUUUCGCUGCCAGACAAGGCUCCGCUGAUAGCCAGGUGUAGCAGUGGUAAGGUUUGUGGACUGCUUUUGGAACUCUGCUGUUGGGGCAGCUUUAUGUAGGCCCUAAAAGCUUGUGGGCACCGUUUGUCACCGUUAUAGUGCAAUUAAUCUAAUGUUUAGGGAUUUUGUGUUGUGUAGAGGCUUUGCUGGCAUGCAUCCUAAAAAUAAAAAAAAAUGUUUGCCCC